rnacentral:rRNA from 1 species
UACAGAGGGGGCAAGCGUUGUUCGGAAUUACUGGGCGUAAAGGGCGCGUAGGCGGCCUUCUAAGUCAGACGUGAAAUCCCUCGGCUCAACCGGGGAACUGCGUCUGAGACUGGAAGGCUUGAAUCCGGGAGAGGGAUGUGGAAUUCCAGGUGUAGCGGUGAAAUGCGUAGAUAUUCGGAGGAACACCGAUGGCGAAGGCAGAUCUCUGGGCCGUAACUGACGCUGAGGAGCGAAAGCGUGGGGAGCGAACAGG